CAGCAUUUCGACUUAUUUUUACAUUAAACCCCCUGCAAAAUUUCAAACAUAACCAACCCAAUUUCAGUAUUUCAACCAAGGCAUUUAUAUACUUAAUCCUACUUGACAUAUAGACAUAACAACUUAAGUAAAUAAAAUCCUAUUAUCAUUUCUAAUUAACACAUAAAACUAACUAAGCCAUUUCAACUUGAUACCAAUGCUAAAAAAAAACUUAUACCAUUUUUCUAAUAUAAUCAUCAAAACACAUAAUAUCUUACUUUACAACAAAACUAUAUAACAUGCCAAAAUAACUAUUAUAAAUCCUAUGUACAUGCCACUUUCUCUUAAAGGAAGAAAACAUCACCAAAAUCUUUAUGUCGGAGUCGGGAUUGUCCUAGAUGCUGAACCGAGACUCUAACCCCUUUUCAACCUGCGCACGGAAACAACCGUACGCUGAGUAUUUUAUACUCAGUGGUAUUACUAUAAAUUAAACUAUUUAAUAAUAAUAAAAUUUCAAAUAUUGACCAUAGUCUUUAAAAAAAAUCACUUUAAACUAAAUAUAAAUAUUCAUAUAUCAUUCCAUAAAUCUUAAAUUUAUAUAUUUAAAUAUUUACAUACUAAAUCAAUUCAUAAUUUAUAUCAUACAUUCUUUCUCAUAUUUUUCAAUAGUGUCAAAUCAACUAAUCUCAUUUUCAAAUUUCCAUUUCAAUUAUUUACCCUAUUAACAAGGCUCGGACUCCGACAGAUACGCGGAUUCCACCCAAACACACCAAAAUAUCCAACCUAAACACACCCGGAAUAAUUUAAAUCCUCCAUAACACACCAGUAUAUCAUAACCUCCCAAACACACCAAUAAGGCAUUUAAUGCCUCUUCGGAUAAACCGAAGCAUUUAAUAACAUAGUCAUCUUCUCGGCCGAACUACAAAUCUCCUCAUCACAUCACAAAUCCUAUGGCAUGCCAUUUGUAUCCAAUCUAGUCUGAUAAGUUAAUAGGGUAUUAUUUUACUUUUCCUAUUUCGAAUUCAUUUCCACAACAAUUUCAAAUAUUCAAUCAAUACAAAACAUCUAUUAUUUCAAUUCACAUAUAAUUCAAUAUACACAUAUUCUUACUUAAUUUCAAAUGUUAAUACUUACCUUUAGAUGCCGAUGCCUCGUUUUCCUUGUUAGCUACGAAAAUAAUUAUUAUUUUCACUAUUAAUUAUAAUCAUUAAAAAUAAUAAUAAUAAUAAUAUUAACAAUAAUAAUAAUAAUAAAAUUUUUAUUCAAUUCCUACUUAUUCCCAAUUUAAUUCUAACUAAGCUUACUUAUUUUUCUAACUUAAUUCACACUCUAUUUCUAUUCAAAUUCCUUCUAAAUCCAAAUUUAUCUACUAAUUUUUCAGCAUUUUUCACUAAUUUCGAAUUUUCCUCAAUUUAAUCCCUAAAAUUCAAAACUUAUAGUUUAGUUCACAAUUUAAUCCUUUUAUCAACUCUAACUAGAAACUCUAUCAAAUAACCCUCAAUUCCAUCAUUUAUUCAACAUAAACCCUAAUUUAAGGCUUUUUAUAACUUAAUCCCAAUUAUGUAAAACUUACAACUUAGUUCACAAAUCAUUCUUUUUAUCUAUUCUAACUAAAAUUUCUAUCAACUAAACCCCUAAUUUAACAACUUGUUCAAAAUGAAUCAUGUUCAAAAACCUAUGAACUUCCAUAACCUCCACUUAACUUCAACAAAAUUUUGUUUUAAAGCUUUUAAAAUAUCAAAAUGAAGAGGAAAGGGCUAAAUUUAGCUUACCAAUUAACUAAGCUUUAAAUCCUUAGUUUUCCCUUUUAUUUUUCUUUCCCCUUUUCUUCCCCUGUUUUCGUCUCUUUCCCUGCUUAUUUUCUAGCUAUUAUGUUUCUUUCUUUCUUUUAC
rnacentral:lncRNA from 1 species